rnacentral:sRNA from 1 species
UCCCAGAAGGAAGUAGGUUCCUUUAGGG